GUUAUUUAACCUCUGUGUCUCAGUUUCUUUUUUUAUUUUUUGAGACAGAGUCUCGCUCCAGCCUGGAAGACGAGCGAAAUUCCGUCUCAAAAAAAGAACACAAAAAAUUUAAGUUCUAGUUAAUUAAUUGAAAUAAACCAGUUUCUCUCUGAUGAGAGAAAAAAAUGUGCUAAGUACUGCUGAGUUCUGGAGGGCCACAAACACUGCGUGAAAAACAUCUAGGAUGUUUUCACUCUUGUUAAAAACGCAUGUUUUAGUACUAACUCAUUUAAAACAACUGUUGAAAAACUCAAGUUACCUCCUGGAGGGUAAGUGGAAGCUGAGGGACAUCGGUGGGAGGCAGGUGUCUCUCUGUACCCUUUACACUUUUCCAGUUUUGAAUUUUACAUAGAUACUGCUUGUUCGAAAAAUUUAAAGAAUGAUUUUUAUCUACUUAAGCACCAAGUAACUGAUAGGUUACACACAGGAGAUACGUGUUUGUUUACACUGCAGGGCUCGACACUGCACAACUGGCACAAUCUUCCCAAAAGUCAACCCGUUUUCUAAAACUUCCGCAGAACCACCCUGACCGUAAAGACGAUUUCAACAACGAGAUAG
rnacentral:lncRNA from 1 species